UACGUAGGGUGCGAGCGUUAAUCGGAAUUACUGGGCGUAAAGCGUGCGCAGGCGGUUUUGUAAGCCAGAUGUGAAAUCCCCGGGCUUAACCUGGGAAUGGCAUUUGGGACUGCAAGGCUGGAGUGCGGCAGAGGAGACUGGAAUUCCUGGUGUAGCAGUGAAAUGCGUAGAUAUCAGGAGGAACACCGAUGGCGAAGGCAGGUCUCUGGGCUGACACUGACGCUCAUGCACGAAAGCGUGGGGAGCAAA
rnacentral:rRNA from 1 species